UGACGACGAGGACAGCAGGUGACAGAU
rnacentral:piRNA from 1 species